rnacentral:rRNA from 1 species
UACGGGGGGGGCAAGCGUUGUUCGGAAUUACUGGGCGUAAAGGGUGCGUAGGCGGCUUUUUAAGUCGGAUGUGAAAACUCUGGGCUCAACCCAGAGACUGCAUCCGAAACUGGAGAGCUAGGGUUCUGGAGGGGAAAGCGGAAUUCCUGGUGUAGCAGUGAAAUGCGUAGAUAUCAGGAGGAACACCGGUGGCGAAGGCGGCUUUCUGGACAGAUACCGACGCUGAGGCACGAAAGCUAGGGGGAGCAAACAGG